ensembl:lncRNA
AGUGAAAGUAGCAGUUCCUCCUUAAGGUCAGAGAUUGCAGCAUCUGAGGGCCUCUUUAAUAGAAGACGUAGUUGAUGAAGGCGUUCUGGAGCAGGACCAGAAAGACCACGACCAAGCAGCCUUGAGAUCUUAGACAGCGUCUCCCUCAGACCAAAGAACUACAGACUCUUCACAACCUGCUCAAUCUCUUGGUACAGGACCUCACCACACGGGUCAAGAAGGUUUCCUUCUCCUCAUUUCUACACUGAAGCUCACCUUCUCCUGCUCAAACUGCUGACAAAUGUUUCUGCUGCUCUAAAGUCUGGUCUCCAGAACUUCCUA